GGUGACGUACCCAAAUGGCUAAGGGAACGGUUUGCAAAACCGUCUUGUGCCGGUUCAAAUCCGGCCGUCACCU
rnacentral:tRNA from 1 species